rnacentral:rRNA from 1 species
CGUUUGUAGGCGGGCGAGUGUGUUUAAUGUUAAAUCUUAAAGCUCAACUUUGAAAUUGCGUUAAAAACUGCUUGUCUUGAGUAUGGUAGGGGUAAAGGGAAUUCCCAGUGUAGCGGUGAAAUGCGUAGAUAUUGGGAAGAACACUAAACAGCGAAGGCACUUUACUAGGCUAAUACUGACGCUGAGAAACGAAAGGUAAGGUAGCGAAACGGAUUAGAUACCCGUGUAGUCUUACCCGUAAACUAUGGACACUAAACGGUAAAUUUUUAAUUUACUGUUAAAGCUAACGCGUUAAGUGUCCCGCCUGGGGAGUAUGCUUGCAAAAGUGAAACUCAAAGGAAUUGACGGGGGCCCGCACAAGCGGUGGAGCAUGUGGUUUAAUUCGACGGUACACGAAGAACCUUACCAGGAUUUGACAUGCUAGAUAGUUGCUUGAAAGAGUAACGUGCCGUAAGGAAUCUAGACACAGGUGGUGCAUGGCUGUCGUCAGUUCGUGUUGUGAAAUGUUGGGUUAAGUCCCGCAACGAACGCAACCCUUGUCUUUAGUUAUUUUCUAAAGAGACUGCCUGUAAUAAACAGGAGGAAGGUAAGGAUGAGGUCAAGUCAUCAUGCCCCUUAUGUCCUGGGCUACACACGUGCUACAAUGGGAAAGACAAUGAGCUGCAAAUCUGUAAAUUUAAGCAAAUCUCUUAAACUUUCUCGUAGUUCGGAUUGUGGGCUGCAACUCGCCCACAUGAAGUUGGAAUCGCUAGUAAUCGCCAGUCAGCUAUAUGGCGGUGAAUCCGUUCCCGGGCCU